AUUGAACGCUGGCGGCAGGCCUAACACAUGCAAGUCGAACGGUAACAGGAAACAGCUUGCUGUUUCGCUGACGAGUGGCGGACGGGUGAGUAAUGUCUGGGAAACUGCCUGAUGGAGGGGGAUAACUACUGGAAACGGUAGCUAAUACCGCAUAACGUCGCAAGACCAAAGAGGGGGACCUUCGGGCCUCUUGCCAUCGGAUGUGCCCAGAUGGGAUUAGCUUGUUGGUGGGGUAACGGCUCACCAAGGCGACGAUCCCUAGCUGGUCUGAGAGGAUGACCAGCCACACUGGAACUGAGACACGGUCCAGACUCCUACGGGAGGCAGCAGUGGGGAAUAUUGCACAAUGGGCGCAAGCCUGAUGCAGCCAUGCCGCGUGUAUGAAGAAGGCCUUCGGGUUGUAAAGUACUUUCAGCGGGGAGGAAGGGAGUAAAGUUAAUACCUCUACUCAUUGACGUUACCCGCAGAAGAAGCACCGGCUAACUCCGUGCCAGCCGCCGCCGAUA
rnacentral:rRNA from 1 species